CCUACGGGUGGCAGCAGUGGGGAAUAUUGGACAAUGGGGGCAACCCUGAUCCAGCCAUGCCGCGUGUGUGAAGAAGGCCCGCGGGUUGUAAAGCACUUUCAGUGAGGAAGAACGCCUGGUGGUUAAUACCCAUCAGGAAAGACAUCACUCACAGAAGAAGCACCGGCUAACUCCGUGCCAGCAGCCGCGGUAAUACGGAGGGUGCGAGCGUUAAUCGGAAUUACUGGGCGUAAAGCGCGCGUAGGUGGCUUGAUAAGCCGGUUGUGAAAGCCCCGGGCUCAACCUGGGAACGGCAUCCGGAACUGUCAAGCUAGAGUGCAGGAGAGGAAGGUAGAAUUCCCGGUGUAGCGGUGAAAUGCGUAGAGAUCGGGAGGAAUACCAGUGGCGAAGGCGGCCUUCUGGACUGACACUGACACUGAGGUGCGAAAGCGUGGGUAGCAAACAGGAUUAGAUACCCGGGUAGUC
rnacentral:rRNA from 1 species